AGAACGAACGCUGGCGGCAUGCCUAACACAUGCAAGUCGAACGCUCCUGGGGCUUCGGUCUCAGGGGAGUGGCGCACGGGUGAGUAGCGCGUGGGAACCUGCCCUGUUGUGGGGGAUAACCGAGGGAAACUUCGGCUAAUACCGCAUAAGCCGGUUGUCUUGAAAGAGAUGACCGGGAAAGAUUUAUCGCGACAGGAGGGGCCCGCGUCGGAUUAGCUAGUUGGUGGGGUAACGGCCCACCAAGGCAGUGAUCCGUAGCUGGUCUGAGAGGAUGAUCAGCCACACUGGGACUGAGACACGGCCCAGACUCCUACGGAGGCAGCAGUGGGGGAAUAUUGGACAAUGGGCGCAAGCCUGAUCCAGCAAUGCCGCGUGAGUGAUGAAGGCCUUAGGGUUGUAAAGCUCUUUCGCCCGCGACGAUGAUGACGGUAGCGGGAGAAGAAGCCCGGCUAACUUCGUGCCAGCAGCCGCGGU
rnacentral:rRNA from 1 species